GAAAGCUUUAUUUUUGUGGCUUGGUACUUCAGUAUGAGAGGCUUGCCCUAACGUCUUGCCCUUGCAAGUUAGCCACUUGUCACAUUUUGUAUGUGCUAUGUGAACUUGUGAUCAUAAGCUAAAAAUCUAUACUCCUUUUGCAACAGACACAUUUGCUUUAGCUACCUAAAUUGAGUCCCCUUAAUAAAGGAGUUCAUUUGAGAAAUUCAUGGGAAUAAGUAAUUUUUCCUCCUAACAGAAGUAGAACUGCUGAGCAGUACGCACUGCAUAUGCUUUUCUGUUGGUCAGAUAGACAUAUCUUUCUACAGAAAAUGUACAUUUAGUCAGGUUUUAGAGUAACCAUUCCAAUGAGAAGUAAGAGACAGCUGAAUGUCAACUAUCCUGCAUGACAAGCCACUAAACUCAAGAGUAAAAAAAAACAAUGAAAAAAAUCAACUUAUAUGGAGAUGAGAAUGUGUACGUGUUUUUACCACUGCAAAGGUACCUACAGAUGGGAUCAAUGAAGGAUGGAAAGGGGCCCCAACUGGCAGCAUCAUGGGCAAUUAUUCCAAUCACAGUGUUAAGAUAUUAAAGAGAACGUCAUUGCCACAGCCUCUUCAGAGAACUGUGAAGAAAGUAGAAUUCAAGGGGAUCUCCUGAAGAUGAGCCCUGAACGCUGAACGUUGAGUCUCUUUCAACAUCAAGUUCUUCUGUGCAGAGCUAAAUGUGGAAAUUUUAAUGUAAAAAUCACCCACGUCUUUGCAUUCUUGAAGGCAGCAACUGGGCAGUAUCUCAAGGCUGUUUCCAAGCACAGACUAUGGAAAACAAUGAAAACUCCAAUUUGUAGAAAACUUCACACAACUGUCUGAAAAGCCAGAACACAGCUUAAGAGUACAAAUUCGUAUGACAAACACUGAAGGAAGAUUUUUAUGCACUUAAUGAAAAAGUGCAUAACCACAGUGAAAAAGAAGAAAAGCUGGUAUCAUACUGAUCAGUGUUUCAGUGGUGCCUGUUACACUGGUGAUAGGUUUGUGCUUCAGAAGAUAAUAAGUAUGCCGACUCUCUACAGACAAAAAGCUUAGAAGAUGCCAUCCCUGGCAUUAAAAAAAAAAAAAAAGAGAA